rnacentral:rRNA from 1 species
GACGAACGCUGGCGGCGUGCUCAACACAUGCAAGUCGAACGGAAAGGCCCUGCUUUUGUGGGGUGCUCGAGUGGCGAACGGGUGAGUAACACGUGAGUAACCUGCCCUUGACUGUGGGAUAACUUCAGGAAACUGGGGCUAAUACCGGAUAGGAGCUCCUGCUGCAUGGUGGGGGUUGGAAAGUUUCGGCGGGUGGGGAUGGACUCGCGGCUGAUCAGCUUGUUGGUGGGGUAGUGGCUUACCAAGGCUUUGACGGGUAGCCGGCCUGAGAGGGUGACCGGCGACAUUGGGACUGAGAUACGGACCAGACUCCUACGGGAGGCAGCAGUGGGGAAUAUUGCACAGUGGGCGGAAGCCUGAGGCAGAAACGCCGCGUGCGGGAUGACGGCCUUCGGGUUGUAAACCGCUUUCGCCUGUGACGAAGCGUGAGUGACGGUAAUGGGUAAAGAAGCACCGGCUAACUACGUG